CGCCCUUCAGAGGGGGACAACAGUUGGAAACGACUGCUAAUACUGCAUACGAUCUAACCUCGGCAUCGAGGAUGGAUGAAAGGUGGCCUCUAUUUAUAAGCUAUCACUGAAGGAGGGGAUUGCGUCUGAUUAGCUAGUUGGAGGGGUAACGGCCCACCAAGGCGAUGAUCAGUAGCCGGUCUGAGAGGAUGAACGGCCACAUUGGGACUGAGACACGGCCCAG
rnacentral:rRNA from 1 species